UGUGGUGUGGCUCAUUGGUAGAGCACUUGCCUCACAUACAGGAGGCACUGUGUUCGAUCUCUAGAACCACAA
rnacentral:tRNA from 1 species